GUCCAUCAUUAAAUCUGAACCAGACAGAUCUGAAUUUGUUCUUCAGCUGGGCACAGCAACCCAGAGAGACAUCAUGGUUACCGAGGGUCACUGAUGCUUGAAGAUCUCUUCAAACAAGAACAAAGAAGCCAAGAAUCAGUGGACGUGGUGUCCUGGUACUUUUGCUCUGGAACUUCUGAUACUCACCCAGUGGCUCCUCAUCUCUUCAGAUGUCACACACACUGUGGCAGUUGUGUCCUGGUUUCAGCUAGCAUAAAGUUAAUUUUCUUCGGUGGCUGCUCUGUGCUGGUAGUGCUGUAG
rnacentral:lncRNA from 1 species